UAAUAUGGUCCUCAGGAAUUGUGCCCCUCCCUUCUCUCUCCCCUCUGGACACAACCGUUUUGGAUGGAGGUGAUAAGGAGGCGCACCCGCUUCCUCCUCCGUGGCUACCAAAUAUGAUGCUGCAAGGUUACCUCGCACUUGUCCGCCUACCAACCUUGCUCCUUCCUCCUAGUGUGUGUUGUACCUUUCGGGGAAGAGAUAAUCCUAAUCACUUCCGGUGGCGAGGGAGAAGAAAAAAUAGGGAGAUGGACGUGUGCGGGGGAGGAGGAUGUUGCAUAGCCCAGCUGUCUAUUCAUAUCACUCAUUCUCAACUUUUUCAAAAUUAAGUGACCAAAGCCAUUUUUUAAAGGAGGUUGAUGGUAGAGGGGAAGAGAAGUGUGCAUUCAGAAAUACUUUUCGCACCACUAUUGUCAAAGAUCACUGAAGUUUCAAGAGUAUUUCUCUUGAUAAUGUAGAAAUGUUAACCUGUCACUAGUUCCUAAAAACACCCAAAUCCCACGCCACUUCAACUAAAGCCUUUUGAAGUAAUUAAUUGAGAUUCAGCCAGUA